GACGAACGCUGGCGGCGUGCUUAACACAUGCAAGUCAAACGGUAAGGCCCUUCGGGGUACACGAGUGGCGAACGGGUGAGUAACACGUGGGUGAUCUGCCCUGCACUUCGGGAUAAGCCUGGGAAACUGGGUCUAAUACCGGAUAGGACCACUGCCUGCAUGGGCGGGGGUGGUAAGCUUUUGCGGUGUGGGAUGGGCCCGCGGCCUAUCAGCUGGUUGGUGGGGUGAUGGCGUACCAAGGCGACGACGGGUCGCCGGCCCGAGAGGGUGACCGGCCACACUGGGACUGAGAUACGGCCCAGACUCCUACGGGAGGCAGCAGUGGGGAAUAUUGCACAAUGGGCGCAAGCCUGAUGCAGCGACGCCGCGUGAGGGAUGACGGCCUUCGGGUUGUAAACCUCUUUCAGCACCGACGAAGCGCAAGUGACGGUAGGUGCAGAAGAAGGACCGGCCAACUACGUGCCAGCCGCCGCCGUAA
rnacentral:rRNA from 1 species